GUACUUACCUGGCAGGGGAGAUACCAUGAUCACAAAGGUGGUUUUCCCAGGGUGAGGCUCAUCCAUUGCACUCCGGGUGUGCUGACCCCUGUGAUUUCCCCAAAUGCGGGAAACUGCAUAAUUUGUGGUAGUGGGGGAAUGCGUUUGCGCUUUCCCCCG
rnacentral:snRNA from 1 species